rnacentral:rRNA from 1 species
GAUGAACGCUGGCGGCGUGCCUAAUACAUGCAGGUAGAACGCUGAAGGAGGAGCUUGCUCUUCUGGAAGAGUUGCGAACGGGUGAGUAACGCGUAGGUAACCUGCCUCUUAGCGGGGGAUAACUAUUGGAAACGAUAGCUAAUACCGCAUAAAAGUCGACAUUGCAUGAUGUUGACUUGAAAGGUGCAACUGCAUCACUAAGAGAUGGACCUGCGUUGUAUUAGCUAGUUGGUGAGGUAACGGCUCACCAAGGCGACGAUACAUAGCCGACCUGAGAGGGUGAUCGGCCACACUGGGACUGAGACACGGCCCAGACUCCUACGGGAGGCAGCAGUAGGGAAUCUUCGGCAAUGGGGGCAACCCUGACCGAGCAACGCCGCGUGAGUGAAGAAGGUUUUCGGAUCGUAAAGCUCUGUUGUAAGAGAAGAACGAGUGUGAGAGUGGAAAGUUCACGCUGUGACGGUAUCUUACCAGAAAGGGACGGCUAACUACGUGCCAGCAGCCGCGGUAAUACGUAGGUCCCGAGCGUUAUCCGGAUUUAUUGGGCGUAAAGCGAGCGCAGGCGGUUAGAUAAGUCUGAAGUUAAAGGCUGUGGCUUAACCAUAGUACGCUUUGGAAACUGUUUAACUUGAGUGCAGAAGGGGAGAGUGGAAUUCCAUGUGUAGCGGUGAAAUGCGUAGAUAUAUGGAGGAACACCGGUGGCGAAAGCGGCUCUCUGGUCUGUAACUGACGCUGAGGCUCGAAAGCGUGGGGAGCAAACAGG